rnacentral:rRNA from 1 species
GAUGAACGCUGGCUACAGGCUUAACACAUGCAAGUCGAGGGGAAACGACGGGGAAGCUUGCUUCCCCGGGCGUCGACCGGCGCACGGGUGAGUAACGCGUAUCCAACCUGCCUCUGACUGGGGGAUAACCCGUCGAAAGUCGGCCUAAUACCUCAUGGUAUCGUCUGCGGGCAUCCAACGACGAUUAAAGAUUUCAUCGGUCAGGGAUGGGGAUGCGUCUGAUUAGCUUGUUGGCGGGGUAACGGCCCACCAAGGCUACGAUCAGUAGGGGUUCUGAGAGGAAGGUCCCCCACAUUGGAACUGAGACACGGUCCAAACUCCUACGGGAGGCAGCAGUGAGGAAUAUUGGUCAAUGGGCGAGAGCCUGAACCAGCCAAGUAGCGUGCAGGAAGACGGCCCUAUGGGUUGUAAACUGCUUUUAGGCGGGGAUAAAGUGAGGGACGUGUCCCUCAUUGCAGGUACCGCAUGAAUAAGGACCGGCUAAUUCCGUG